CGUCCAUUUUUAACAAGUUUUCAAUUUCUUCCAUUUUGGUCCCUUCUUCUUCAUUACCAACCCUUUCAAGCUUUAACUUCCAAUUUCCUCCAUGGAUUUUUAGUGAAAUCCCAAGAACAACUUCAUGGCAAGUUAAGUCGUUUGUGAAGUUAGCUAGAAUACAUAUUUGUGGAGAGAGAAAAGAAAAGUUAGGGAUUUGAGAAGGAAGAGAAAGAGAUGAGAAGUGAAGCACAGAUUAGGGAUAAAGGUAAGGGAGUUGCAAAAGAGUGAAGAAGAAGAAAAUGACUCAUCCAAGUAUUAGAUUGUGAAGAUUGUUUUGAAACUUUAGAGUGAAGAUCAAUUCUGACUCAUCUCAUUACAAACCAAGGCUUGGAAGAGAGUACGUUUCGAUUUUUGGCAAUAGUUUAUGGCAUGUACAUAAGGUCAUGUUAACAAUGUUGU